CACGUAGGAGGCGAGCGUUGUCCGGAAUCAUUGGGCGUAAAGAGCGCGCAGGCGGCUUGGCAAGUCGGGUGUGAAAUCCCGGGGCUCAACCCCGGGACUGCAUUCGAUACUGUCAGGCUAGAGGUAGGUAGGGGAGAUCGGAAUUCCUGGUGUAGCGGUGAAAUGCGCAGAUAUCAGGAGGAACACCGGUGGCGAAGGCGACUACCUGGCCUGUUCUUGACGCUGAGGCGCGAAAGCUAGGGGAGCAAACGGG
rnacentral:rRNA from 1 species